rnacentral:rRNA from 1 species
UUAAGCGACUAAGCGUACACGGUGGAUGCCCUGGCAGUCAGAGGCGAUGAAGGGCGUGCUAAUCUGCGAUAAGCGCCGGUAAGGUGAUAUGAACCGUUAUAACCGGCGAUACCCGAAUGGGGAAACCCAGUGUGACUCGUCACACUAUCAUUAACUGAAUCCAUAGGUUAAUGAGGCGAACCGGGGGAACUGAAACAUCUAAGUACCCCGAGGAAAAGAAAUCAACCGAGAUUCCCCCAGUAGCGGCGAGCGAACGGGGAGGAGCCCAGAGCCUGAAUCAGCAUGUGUGUUAGUGGAAGCGUCUGGAAAGGCGCGCGAUACAGGGUGACAGCCCCGUACACAAAAGCGCAUGUGCUGUGAGCUCGAUGAGUAGGGCGGGACACGUGGUAUCCUGUCUGAAUAUGGGGGGACCAUCCUCCAAGGCUAAAUACUCCUGACUGACCGAUAGUGAACCAGUACCGUGAGGGAAAGGCGAAAAGAACCCCGGCGAGGGGAGUGAAAAAGAACCUGAAACCGUGUACGUACAAGCAGUGGGAGCACAGGUUUACCUGUGUGACUGCGUACCUUUUGUAUAAUGGGUCAGCGACUUAUAUUCUGUAGCAAGGUUAACCGAAUAGGGGAGCCGGAGGGAAACCGAGUCUUAAUUGGGCGUUAAGUUGCAGGGUAUAGACCCGAAACCCGGUGAUCUAGCCAUGGGCAGGUUGAAGGUUGGGUAACACUAACUGGAGGACCGAACCGACUAAUGUUGAAAAAUUAGCGGAUGACCUGUGGCUGGGGGUGAAAGGCCAAUCAAACCGGGAGAUAGCUGGUUCUCCCCGAAAGCUAUUUAGGUAGCGCCUCGUGAAUUCAUCUCCGGGGGUAGAGCACUGUUUCGGCUAGGGGGCCAUCCCGGCUUACCAACCCGAUGCAAACUGCGAAUACCGGAGAAUGUUAUCACGGGAGACACACGGCGGGUGCUAACGUCCGUCGUGAAGAGGGAAACAACCCAGACCGCCAGCUAAGGUCCCAAAGUCAUGGUUAAGUGGGAAACGAUGUGGGAAGGCCCAGACAGCCAGGAUGUUGGCUUAGAAGCAGCCAUCAUUUAAAGAAAGCGUAAUAGCUCACUGGUCGAGUCGGCCUGCGCGGAAGAUGUAACGGGGCUAAACCAUGCACCGAAGCUGCGGCAGCGACACUGUGUGUUGUUGGGUAGGGGAGCGUUCUGUAAGCCUGUGAAGGUGUGUCGUGAGGCAUGCUGGAGGUAUCAGAAGUGCGAAUGCUGACAUAAGUAACGAUAAAGCGGGUGAAAAGCCCGCUCGCCGGAAGACCAAGGGUUCCUGUCCAACGUUAAUCGGGGCAGGGUGAGUCGACCCCUAAGGCGAGGCCGAAAGGCGUAGUCGAUGGGAAACGGGUUAAUAUUCCCGUACUUGGUGUUACUGCGAAGGGGGGACGGAGAAGGCUAUGUUGGCCGGGCGACGGUUGUCCCGGUUUAAGCGUGUAGGUGUGUGUUCCAGGUAAAUCCGGUUCACUUUAACACUGAGGCGUGACGACGAGGCACUACGGUGCUGAAGCAACAAAUGCCCUGCUUCCAGGAAAAGCCUCUAAGCAUCAGGUAACAUCAAAUCGUACCCCAAACCGACACAGGUGGUCAGGUAGAGAAUACCAAGGCGCUUGAGAGAACUCGGGUGAAGGAACUAGGCAAAAUGGUGCCGUAACUUCGGGAGAAGGCACGCUGACACGUAGGUGAAGUGAUUUACUCAUGGAGCUGAAGUCAGUCGAAGAUACCAGCUGGCUGCAACUGUUUAUUAAAAACACAGCACUGUGCAAACACGAAAGUGGACGUAUACGGUGUGACGCCUGCCCGGUGCCGGAAGGUUAAUUGAUGGGGUCAGCGCAAGCGAAGCUCCUGAUCGAAGCCCCGGUAAACGGCGGCCGUAACUAUAACGGUCCUAAGGUAGCGAAAUUCCUUGUCGGGUAAGUUCCGACCUGCACGAAUGGCGUAAUGAUGGCCAGGCUGUCUCCACCCGAGACUCAGUGAAAUUGAACUCGCUGUGAAGAUGCAGUGUACCCGCGGCAAGACGGAAAGACCCCGUGAACCUUUACUAUAGCUUGACACUGAACAUUGAGCCUUGAUGUGUAGGAUAGGUGGGAGGCUUUGAAGUGUGGACGCCAGUCUGCAUGGAGCCGACCUUGAAAUACCACCCUUUAAUGUUUGAUGUUCUAACGUGGACCCGUUACCCGGGUUGCGGACAGUGUCUGGUGGGUAGUUUGACUGGGGCGGUCUCCUCCUAAAGAGUAACGGAGGAGCACGAAGGUUGGCUAAUCCUGGUCGGACAUCAGGAGGUUAGUGCAAUGGCAUAAGCCAGCUUGACUGCGAGCGUGACGGCGCGAGCAGGUGCGAAAGCAGGUCAUAGUGAUCCGGUGGUUCUGAAUGGAAGGGCCAUCGCUCAACGGAUAAAAGGUACUCCGGGGAUAACAGGCUGAUACCGCCCAAGAGUUCAUAUCGACGGCGGUGUUUGGCACCUCGAUGUCGGCUCAUCACAUCCUGGGGCUGAAGUAGGUCCCAAGGGUAUGGCUGUUCGCCAUUUAAAGUGGUACGCGAGCUGGGUUUAGAACGUCGUGAGACAGUUCGGUCCCUAUCUGCCGUGGGCGCUGGAGAACUGAGGGGGGCUGCUCCUAGUACGAGAGGACCGGAGUGGACGCAUCACUGGUGUUCGGGUUGUCAUGCCAAUGGCACUGCCCGGUAGCUAAAUGCGGAAGAGAUAAGUGCUGAAAGCAUCUAAGCACGAAACUUGCCCCGAGAUGAGUUCUCCCUGAGACUUAGAGUCUCCUGAAGGAACGUUGAAGACGACGACGUUGAUAGGCCGGGUGUGUAAGCGCAGCGAUGCGUUGAGCUAACCGGUACUAAUGAACCGUGAGGCUUAACCUU